CACAGUGAGGGGGUGCAAGAUGGCAGCUGGUCAUCAUGUGACUCACAGCUGGAUAGCUGCUGCUGAUCACGAGGGGCAACAAGGGGACGGCCGCUGACCCUGAGACCCGUUGCAAGAUGGCAGUGCCAUGCCACAUGGCAGAGUGCAGCAAGAUGGUGACUGUCCUCCAUGUAAGCUGCAGCAACAUGGCUGCUGGCAACCAUGUGGCCUGCCAGAAGGCUGGAACGCCUGAGACCACACAUGGGUGAAAGCAGACCACUGUGGAAGAGAGCAAAGGCGGAACACGGCGGCGGUCCUUCACGUCUCCCACUGCUCAGCUGUGCUAUCAGAGCCACAGGCGACUCAUGAGAAGAACUGAAGACAGCACUCACUGUUUGGAUCCAGCGGAGGUGAGCCAGAAGAGAACCAGUCAGCAUCUCCCAAGAUCCAGCCACGCUGGAACUUAGGGCGCUGAACAAGGAAACAACCGGCCCUCCUACCUGGUUGGCAGCCAUGGAGCAGGUGCGGGCGGGCGAGGCAGGAGGAGAACCCGCAGGCCUUUCCCACCAUUGCUGGGUGGGCAGAGAAUGGAGCAUCCCAUCCCACCCCCACAGUGACUGGGGCCAGAAUCUGAGCAUCUCUUAGGAGGAUGAUCUUAUGCAAUAUGGCAAAUAUGGGGGAUUUCCUUCUAUCUUCUCUUUGAAGGCAAAUAUUGUUUCCACUGUUUUGCUUUGUUCUGAUAGUUUUGAUCUAUUCAAUAUUCUGCCCUGAUAGAUUUUGUAAUGUUCUGUUUUUUGUUUGAUUUUGCUAUACCUAAUUGAUUGGACAACUACUGUGAAGAUAAUGAGAUACACAUAGUACCUAUGACUGUUAUCCUGGUAUUGUGCUGUGAAGUUCUGUACCAUUUUCACUACAUUGUUUCAAUUGGCUUUAUUUUGUCUUGUUCUAUUGUAUUUUACUACCUUUAAAGUAAAAAAAAUUGUAUAUUUGUAUCAAAUUGUCAUAUAACCAUAAAUGUGUAUGAAUAUCAUGUGUCAA